rnacentral:rRNA from 1 species
AGAGUUUGAUCAUGGCUCAGAUUGAACGCUGGCGGCGUGCUUAACACAUGCAAGUCGUGCGAGAAAGGUUCCUUCGGGGACUGAGUAGAGCGGCGCACGGGUGAGUAACGCGUGGGUGACCUACCUAGGAGAUCGGGAUAACAGCGGGAAACUGCUGCUAAUACCGGCUACGCUUCAUAUUUCACGUAUGGGGGAAAGGCGGCCUCUGCUUGCAAGCUGCCGCUCUUAGAUGGGCCCGCGUCUCAUUAGCUUGUUGGUGGGGUAAUGGCCUACCAAGGCUACGAUGAGUAGCUGGUCUGAGAGGAUGAUCAGCCACACUGGGACUGAAACACGGCCCAGACUCCUACGGGAGGCAGCAGUGGGGAAUAUUGCGCAAUGGGUGAAAGCCUGACGCAGCGACGCCGCGUGAGGGAAGAAGGCCUUCGGGUCGUAAACCUCUGUCUAGAGGGAAGAAACCAUUGAGGUCGAACAGGCCUCUUUGCUGACGGUACCUCUGAAGGAAGCACCGGCUAACUCCGUGCCAGCAGCCGCGGUAAUACGGAGGGUGCGAGCGUUAAUCGGAAUCACUGGGCGUAAAGCGCACGUAGGCGGUGUCGUAAGUCGGAUGUGAAAGCCCUCGGCUCAACCGGGGAACUGCAUUCGAUACUGCGAUGCUUGAGUGCCGGAGAGGGUG